CUCUUCCGAUCUCUGAGCCAGGAUCAAACUCUGGCGGCAUGGAUUAGGCAUGCAAGUCGAACGCUCACUUCGGUGAGAGUGGCGAAAGGGUGAGUAACGCGUGAGUAAUCUGCCCUCAAGUUUGGAACAACUGUUGGAAACGACAGCUAAUACCGGAUGUGAAUACUUAGAUGCAUGUUUAAGUAUUUAAAGGUUUACUGCUUGAGGAUGAGCUCGCGUCCCAUUAUGCUAGUUGGUAAGGUAACGGCUUACCAAGGCUAUGACGGGUAGGUGGUCUGAGAGGAUGGUCACCCACACUGGGACUGAGACACUGCCCAGACUCCUGCGGGAGGCUGCAGUCGAGAAUCUUCCGCAAUGCGCGAAAGCGUGACGGAGCAAUGCCGCGUGAAGGAUGAAGGCUUUCGGGUCGUAAACUUCUGUCAGGGGGGAAAAACAUUGAUUGUACCCCCAGAGGAAGCCACGGCUAACUACGUGCCAGCAGCCGCGGUAAUACGUAGGUGGCGAGCGUUGUCCGGAUUUACUGGGCGUAAAGGGAGCGUAGGCGGACUUUUAAGUGAGAUGUGAAAUACCCGGGCUCAACUUGGGUGCUGCAUUUCAAACUGGAAGUCUAGAGUGCAGGAGAGGAGAAUGGAAUUCCUAGUGUAGCGGUGAAAUGCGUAGAGAUUAGGAAGAACACCAGUGGCGAAGGCGAUUCUCUGGACUGUAACUGACGCUGAGGCUCGAAAGCGUGGGGAGCAAACAGGAUUAGAUACCCUGGUAGUCCACGCCGUAAACG
rnacentral:rRNA from 1 species